AUUGAACGCUGGCGGCACGCCUAACACAUGCAAGUCGAGCGGCAGCGCGAUAUGUAGCAAUACAUAUUGGCGGCGAGCGGCGGACGGGUGAGGAACACGUAGGAACCUACCCUCGAGUGGGGGAUAACCAAGGGAAACUUUGGCUAAUACCGCAUGAUUUCGAGAGAGCAAAGCUGCCGCAAGGUGGCGCUCGAGGAGGGGCCUGCGUCCGAUUAGCGAGUUGGUGAGGUAAGAGCCCACCAAGGCGAGGAUCGGUAACUGGUCGGAGAGGACGACCAGUCACACUGGGACUGAGACACGGCCCAGACUCCUACGGGAGGCAGCAGUGGGGAAUAUUGGACAAUGGGGGCAACCCUGAUCCAGCGAUGCCGCGUGAGUGAAGAAGGCCUUCGGGUCGUAAAGCUCUUUAGGUUGGGAAGAAGAGUGAUGGAGGAAAUGCUAUCACUUUGACGGUACCGACAGAAUAAGCACCGGCAAACUCUGUGCCAGCCGCCGCAGUAACAC
rnacentral:rRNA from 1 species